GAUGAACGCUGGCGGCGUGCCUAAUACAUGCAAGUCGAGCGAACAGACGAGGAUCUUGCUCCUCUGACGUUAGCGGCGGACGGGUGAGUAACACGGGGAUAACCUACCUAUAAGACUGGGAUAACUUCGGGAAACCGGAGCUAAUACCGUAUAAUAUAUUGAACCGCAUGGUUCAAUAGUGAAAGACGGUGUUGCUGUCACUUAUAGAUGGAUCCGCGCCGCCUUAGCUAGUUGGUAAGGUAACGGCUUACCAAGGCAACGAUGCGUAGCCGACCUGAGAGGGUGAACGGCCACACUGGAACUGAGACACGGUCCAGACUCCUACGGGAGGCAGCAGUACGGACUCCUCCGCAAUGGGCGAAUGCCUGACGGAGCAACGCCGCGUGAGUGAUGAAGGUCUUCGGAUCGGAAAGCUCUGUUAUUAGGGAAGAACAAAUGUGUAAGUAACUAUGCACGUCUUGACGGUACCUAAUCAGAAAGCCCCGGCUAACUACGUG
rnacentral:rRNA from 1 species